rnacentral:rRNA from 1 species
AACGAACGCUGGCGGCAUGCCUAACACAUGCAAGUCGAACGAGACCUUCGGGUCUAGUGGCGCACGGGUGCGUAACGCGUGGGAACCUGCCCUUAGGUUCGGAAUAACUCCCCGAAAGGGGUGCUAAUACCGGAUAAUGUCUUCGGACCAAAGAUUUAUCGCCUUUGGAUGGGCCCGCGUUGGAUUAGCUAGUUGGUAGGGUAAAAGCCUACCAAGGCGACGAUCCAUAGCUGGUCUGAGAGGAUGAUCAGCCACACUGGGACUGAGACACGGCCCAGACUCCUACGGGAGGCAGCAGUGGGGAAUAUUGGACAAUGGGCGAAAGCCUGAUCCAUCAAUGCCGCGUGAGUGAUGAAGGCCUUAGGGUUGUAAAGCUCUUUUACCCGGGCGGAUAAUGACAGUACCGGGAGAAUAAGCUCCGGCUAACUCCGUG